rnacentral:misc_RNA from 1 species
UCAAACUUGGUCAUUUAGAGGAAGUAAAAGUCGUAACAAGGUCUCCGUUGGUGAACCAGCGGAGGGAUCAUUACCGAGUUUGCCAACUCACCAACCCCCUGUGAACGUACCGUCUCCCGUUGCUUCGGCGGUGUCGCCCCGGGCGCGGGCCUGCCAAAGGCCGCCAGCCCCGGAACCAGGCGCCCGCCGGGGGACCCCUAAACGCUCUGUAUUUACGCCCUGGCGGCUUCUUCUGAGUUGCGCUCUCCGAGCGGAAAAAUGAAUCAAAACUUUCAACAACGGAUCUCUUGGCUCUGGCAUCGAUGAAGAACGCAGC